UACGUAGGGUGCAAGCGUUGUCCGGAAUUAUUGGGCGUAAAGAGCUCGUAGGCGGUCUGUUGCGUCGGCUGUGAAAACCCGGGGCUCAACCCCGGGCCUGCAGCCGAUACGGGCAGACUAGAGUUCGGCAGGGGAGACUGGAAUUCCUGGUGUAGCGGUGAAAUGCGCAGAUAUCAGGAGGAACACCGGUGGCGAAGGCGGGUCUCUGGGCCGAUACUGACGCUGGGGAGCGAAAGCGUGGGGAGCAAACAGG
rnacentral:rRNA from 1 species